UUGGUUUAAAUCAUUCUGGAUCUACACUUUGAAAAUUGAACCUACAUAAAAUGGUGGGACAUACAAUGAUUUAAACUAA
rnacentral:pre_miRNA from 1 species